rnacentral:rRNA from 2 species
GAGUUUGAUCAUGGCUCAGAUUGAACGCUGGCGGCAUGCCUUACACAUGCAAGUCGAACGGUAACAGGUUAAGCUGACGAGUGGCGAACGGGUGAGUAAUAUAUCGGAACGUGCCCAGUAGUGGGGGAUAGCCCGGCGAAAGCCGGAUUAAUACCGCAUACGACCUACGGGUGAAAGGGGGGGAUCGCAAGACCUCUCGCUAUUGGAGCGGCCGAUAUCAGAUUAGCUUGUUGGUGGGGUAAAAGCCCACCAAGGCGACGAUCUGUAGCUGGUCUGAGAGGACGACCAGCCACACUGGGACUGAGACACGGCCCAGACUCCUACGGGAGGCAGCAGUGGGGAAUUUUGGACAAUGGACGCAAGUCUGAUCCAGCCAUGCCGCGUGCGGGAAGAAGGCCUUCGGGUUGUAAACCGCUUUUGUCAGGGAAGAAAAGUUUUGGGCUAAUAACCUGAGGCGAUGACGGUACCUGAAGAAUAAGCACCGGCUAACUACGUGCCAGCAGCCGCGGUAAUACG